AUACUUACCUGGCAGGGUAGAUACCAUGAUCACGAAGGGUGGUUUUCCCAGGGCAAGGCUUAUCCAUUGCACUCCGGAUGUCCUGACCCCUGCAAUUUCCCCAAAUGUGGGAAACUUGACUGCAUAAUUUGUGGUAGUGGGGCACUGCAUUCGCACUCUCCAC
rnacentral:snRNA from 1 species